rnacentral:lncRNA from 1 species
UUGAAUAAUCUAGAAUAUAUUUGGUUUAGUUGCUAACAAGGCCUCCCGUAAACCAAAUUUAUUCUUCAUAAUGUCGUAAAACAUUUUGAUCUUCCGAUUCCUUCAAACGCAAGAAACUCUUUUGUCAUCUCCAUUGAUGUAUAUGACACAAAUGCUUGAAGUUUCCAUUUGUUCUUCUUGAUCUUGCUUACUAGCUUCUCACAUUUUACAUGCUUGUAUAAUUUCUUCUCCAUUUCACUAUUUCUGAACUCAUUUUGAUCAAAAUACUUCUCCAUAUUAACCCAUUCAAUACCUUCCAC